GACGAACGCUGGCGGCGUGCUUAACACAUGCAAGUCGAACGGAAAGGCCCUGCUUUUGUGGGGUGCUCGAGUGGCGAACGGGUGAGUAACACGUGAGUAACCUGCCCUUGACUUUGGGAUAACUUCAGGAAACUGGGGCUAAUACCGGAUAGGAGCUCCUGCUGCAUGGUGGGGGUUGGAAAGUUUCGGCGGUUGGGGAUGGACUCGCGGCUUAUCAGCUUGUUGGUGGGGUAGUGGCUUACCAAGGCUUUGACGGGUAGCCGGCCUGAGAGGGUGACCGGCCACAUUGGGACUGAGAUACGGCCCAGACUCCUACGGGAGGCAGCAGUGGGGAAUAUUGCACAAUGGGCGGAAGCCUGAUGCAGCAACGCCGCGUGCGGGAUGACGGCCUUCGGGUUGUAAACCGCUUUCGCCUGUGACGAAGCGUGAGUGACGGUAAUGGGUAAAGAAGCACCGGCUAACUACGUGCCAGCAGCCGCGGUGAUACGUAGGGUGCGAGCGUUGUCCGGAUUUAUUGGGCGUAAAGGGCUCGUAGGUGGUUGAUCGCGUCGGAAGUGUAAUCUUGGGGCUUAACCCUGAGCGUGCUUUCGAUACGGGUUGACUUGAGGAAGGUAGGGGAGAAUGGAAUUCCUGGUGGAGCGGUGGAAUGCGCAGAUAUCAGGAGGAACACCAGUGGCGAAGGCGGUUCUCUGGGCCUUUCCUGACGCUGAGGAGCGAAAGCGUGGGGAGCGAACAGGCUUAGAUACCCUGGUAGUCCACGCUGUAAACGGUGGGUACUAGGUGUGGGGUCCAUUCCACGGGUUCCGUGCCGUAGCUAACGCUUUAAGUACCCCGCCUGGGGAGUACGGCCGCAAGGCUAAAACUCAAAGGAAUUGACGGGGCCCCGCACAAGCGGCGGAGCAUGCGGAUUAAUUCGAUGCAACGCGUAGAACCUUACCUGGGUUUGACAUGGAUCGGGAGUGCUCAGAGAUGGGUGUGCCUCUUUUGGGGUCGGUUCACAGGUGGUGCAUGGCUGUCGUCAGCUCGUGUCGUGAGAUGUUGGGUUAAGUCCCGCAACGAGCGCAACCCUUGUUCACUGUUGCCAGCACGUUAUGGUGGGGACUCAGUGGAGACCGCCGGGGUCAACUCGGAGGAAGGUGGGGAUGACGUCAAGUCAUCAUGCCCCUUAUGUCCAGGGCUUCACGCAUGCUACAAUGGCUGGUACAGAGAGUGGCGAGCCUGUGAGGGUGAGCGAAUCUCGGAAAACCGGUCUCAGUUCGGAUUGGGGUCUGCAACUCGACCUCAUGAAGUCGGAGUCGCCAGUAAUCGCAGAUCAGCAACGCUGCGGUGAAUACGUUCCCGGGGC
rnacentral:rRNA from 1 species